GAAAUGCGAUAAGUAAUGUGAAUUGCAGAAUUCCGUGAAUCAUCGAAUCUUUGAACGCACAUUGCGCCCUCUGGUAUUCCGGGGGGCAUGCCUGUCCGAGCGUCAUUGCGAACUCCUCAAGCACGGCUUGUGUGAUGGGCCCUCCCGCGUCUUGGUCGUCAAGACGGGCCCGAAAAGCAGUGGCGGCUUCGCGGUUAUCCGAUCAGCCAGAGCGUAUGGGGACUUUCUCUCUGUCACACGCCCGCGGCGCGGACCGACGCCUGUCGACCUUUAUUCAUCUUUUUCUCGGUUGACCUCGGAUCAGGUAGGGAUACCCGCUGAACUUAAGC
rnacentral:misc_RNA from 1 species